GCCGAUGUAGCUCAGUUGGUAGAGCAGCUGAUUCGUAAUCAGCAGGUCGUCAGUUCGAGUCUGAUCAUCGGCUCCA
rnacentral:tRNA from 1 species